AAAUCAUUCUGGAAAAAGCCCCCGAUGUUUUAGGUAUCAUUAAGCAUUCACUUGCUACCAGGCAUGCAUGUGCUUCUGGCCCACCUCUCUUGCAGUAGACAGAAUACAAGGAAAAUCCCAAUCUUUCUUUAGGCCCAAAUUUACUAUAAUCCUGAUGAAUAUGCAUUUUAUAUGUAAUUCCAGAAUGUGCUCAGAUGCAAGUUUAGAUUCCUGCAUCUUUAAGUCAAAACAACGAAUUUAAAAUGUCAUCCCCUCUACAUACAUUUGCAUGCAUUUUUUUUCCUGGUAUAAUCUCACCUUUCAAGUGUGCCCACAGUAUCAAGCUGCUCCUCAAACUUCAUUCCUCAGUUUGGGCCGUGCAGCUGUGGGCACUCAAAGGAUGGACAUUGCAGCUGUGUUCCAGUGACUCUACAUAAAAUUAGCUUGGAAUGAGGUGAUCAGCAGUUGAAAGCAUUUCAAAGCUGCAGUAACAGAUCCAGACUUUUAAGGCCAGAUGAGGACUGCAAGACCAUCCAGGCUGACCUCCUGCAUAACGCAGCUGCAGACAACUGGAGAUAAAUGCUCUCUUCUUCAGCCUUCCCUUGUGGGUACAACAGCCCAAAGCAGGUGAAGGGUUUCUCUGUGCAUGAUGAGCCAUUAGACCGCCCUGGGGUCUCCAUGCCAAGCCACACAGGAAUUCACUUAUUUCCACCUCUCCAAUCAAGCGUUAGCCUGGCAAAAGAGUCGUCUGUAAAACUUGCAGCACAUCUGCAAAUAUCAAAUGUCCACGAACAGGCAAAAGACUCACUCUGCUUACUUUUUUGUCAGAUGGUUUCAUUUAGAACCCACGAGGUCAGGAGUCACAGCAUGACCUCAUCAAAUUAGACUCAACUGAGAGAGGUGUUUAGCACAACAAAAAGGAAGUAAUCUGAAGGACAUUAAAUGCAAAUGAGACUGCCAUGUGCAAACUUCAAAAACACCUGAUCCAAAUGAACAGUGUUGACGGGGGUCGAAGGGGUGAGAAAGAAGGUUUCAUAUUUUGGUUGCUUUUUUUUUUUUUUUUGUAAGGACUAUCAGCAAUAUUACAUCCUGUAGGGAUGGCUGAAAAUCUCACAGGUAUGUGAAUAUUUAAACUUUUAGAUACCCAUUUUUAUUUUUGCCAGGUGGGAAUAUGUCUGUAUUUACUGGCAGGAGUUUGUUUGGCUUGUCGAUCAGACUUGGUAGGAAGCAUUUCACUUCUAGAGGACUUUUUACAAAACAAGUAUUUUUAGAAUGGACUUACUCCUACAUGGAUCUCAUUUUGAGAAGAAAAGAAAAAAUAAUUUUGAGUGCUUAACUGAAUCGUUGCUGAUGGUUCUUUAUACAGAGUAGAAAAACUUGUUAGAAGGCUUGCACAUUUUCCCUUCAGGACAUUAAUCCAUGCCCCCAUUGGCUGAGAUGUCUUUCAGCCAUGAAGGCAAUGGGGCAGUGAAGGUCUCGUUAUAAUGGAACCGGGCUAUUUCCAGAUAAUGUGAGUCAGAUUGACUUCAGGAAUUGAUCUGCUUUCCAGAUGUUGGAUAUACUCAAGUGCAGUAGUGAGACAGAGAUGGCAGCUAAGCGUAAGGAGAAUCAGAGUAAAUAAAAAGUCAUAUGUCCUGUUUGUGGUGAGUGGU
rnacentral:lncRNA from 1 species